UGUCAUAGGAUUCUAGUAUAAUAAAUAUUUUGCCGUUUUCCUUAUGUUGGCAUUUUGUCAUUUUAUUUUCUAGAAUGAUGAGGUGUCCCUUUUAUUAGAUUUCUCUUGGCAUUGUGUGGUUGUGCUGUAACCAACUUGCUUAUAUCUAGCCUUUUGGCAGUAAUAAAAAACAACAAUUAUUGACUCAACAACUAUUCUUCCUCAAAAUACUCUUUUUACCAAUAAUUCUAUUUCAUCGAGUAGUAUUCAAUUCCUUUUGCUAUUCCUGGAUUAGAAUAAGGAUAUUACCGGAACUUAUCUCCUUAAUAUCCAAAAAUAUUGAUAUCA
rnacentral:lncRNA from 1 species